CCUACGGGCGGCAGCAGUGAGGAAUAUUGGUCAAUGGACGAGAGUCUGAACCAGCCAAGUCGCGUGAAGGAUGACUGUCCUAUGGGUUGUAAACCUCUUUUAUCUGGGAACAAAACAGGGUACGCAUACCCUCUUGUAUGUACCAUAUGAAUAAGGAUCGGCUAACUCCGUGCCAGCAGCCGCGGUAAUACGGAGGAUCCGAGCGUUAUCCGGAUUUAUUGGGUUUAAAGGGAGCGUAGGUGGAUUGUUAAGUCAGUUGUGAAAGUUUGCGGCUCAACCGUAAAAUUGCAGUUGAAACUGGCAGUCGUGAGUACAGUAGAGGUAGGCGGAAUGCGUGGUGUAGCGGUGAAAUGCUUAGAUAUCACGAAGAACUCCGAUUGCGAAGGCAGCUCACUGGACUGCAACUGACGCUGAUGCACGAAAGUGUGGGUAUCAAACAGGAUUAGAUACCCGAGUAGUC
rnacentral:rRNA from 1 species